rnacentral:rRNA from 1 species
AUUGAACGCUGGCGGCAGGCCUAACACAUGCAAGUCGAACGAGUGGCGGACGGGUGAGUAAUGUCUGGGAAACUGCCUGAUGGAGGGGGAUAACUACUGGAAACGGUAGCUAAUACCGCAUACCAUCAGAUGUGCCCAGAUGGGAUUCGCUGGUUGGUGGGGUAACGGCUCACCAAGGCGACGAUCCCUAGCUGGUCUGAGCGGAGGACCAUCCACACUGGAACUGAGAAACGGUCCAGAUUCCUACGGGAGGCAGCAGUGGGGAAUAUUGGACAAUGGGCGAAAGCCUGAUCCAGCCAUGCCGCGUGUGUGAAGAAGGUCUUCGGAUUGUAAAGCACUUUAAGUUGGGAGGCGUUACCAACAGAAUAAGCACCGGCUAACUUCGUGCCAGCCGCCGCGGUAAUUC